rnacentral:rRNA from 1 species
AUGACGAAGGAGCUUGGUCGGCCUCAGGCGUUGAACCGGCAAAAGGUCAUGGGCACGAUCCUGUGCCCAGCCCCCGGGCAAGCCCGCUGCAUGAAGGCAUGGGCCAGACCGCGUCCGGUGGCGGUCAUGUUGAAGUUCUCCUGUCGCCUACCAAGGGGAUUGGCGGGAGCCUCUAGAGAGAAGUCCAGCAUCUUUGGUCUAUCUUGCAGAAAUGUGUAUACCAUGUUCUCUGGAUCGGUGAUCGCCUCCAUUCCCCAUCGGGCCUUGCCACAUCUCCAUCUCUCUCCCCCUCACCACUCCUUCUCCACCUCCGGCCGCCGCCACGGCCAGGCCGGCGUGGUGGUGUGCCUCCGCAGUCCAUCCACCCACCAGCGCCAUCCAUCACCAGCACCAACACCUAGUGCCACCAUCACCUCCUGCUGCCAGCGCCACCAUCACCUCUUGCCGCUAGCGCCACCACCACCUCACGCGCCCUGCAAUCCAUCUCCCUGCUGCUCCUCCACCUUUCUUCUUGUCCUAACCGUACUGCUGCUCUUCUUCUUCCCUAGCCUCUUUGCUGCUCUUCCUUCUCCAAAUCCCCAAACUGCUGCUCCUCUUUCUUACACGCCUGCCGCUGUUCUUAUUCUCCUAUCUUUCUGCACCACUACUGCCGCUGCUUGUCUCCUGCGUCCCCUGCUGCUCCUUCCUCCCUUACCUUGCUGCUGCACUUCUUGGAAUCCGAAUCCUUACUGCUUCUCUCUCUCUCUCUCUGAAAUUUCUGUAAAAUUUAGAAGUGUUGAAUUGUCUUAUUGGAAAUGGCAUUCUACUCAGAUCAUCAUGCUUACGUGCAAUGAAGAGAGCAACAGUUAUGCUCCACAACAAUUUCAUUCAGCUCCUAUUCAUGUACCUCUGCACCCAGAGAUGUGUCCAAUGGAGUUAAAUGGUCCUCCAUUUGGUCAACCAACAACUCCAGCACCUGUUGUGCAAUCUCAUGUGCAAGUGCCCACACAAGAUGAGUUUGAUGACAUAGAAAAGCUCACACUUUUGAGUCUCGAGUUCACUUGGAGCGCCGAGGAUGAUCCUAUUAGGAAGGUUAUUCUAGAGGAAAUGAAGAAGAUCAAGAGUGGAAAAGAGCUUGUGGAAGAAGUAAAGAAGAUUGAGAAGAACAUCAACGCUGGCAGUACUAUUUCUUCACAGCUUGAGCUGAGUAUUUGUGGGAUACCCCUUGAUACAUGUGAGGUCCCAACACCUUCACAUUCAGCUGAGCAAGAUAGCGAGAGUCCAGAGGAAGAGAUACUUCAGAUCCAAGAAGAAAUUCUCGAAGCCAAGGCACAAGAUGAUCAAGAGCUGCAAUUCCCAAGUGAUCAAGUUGAAGACUCAUCAUCUACUACUCCUGAAGAAGUACAAGAAGCUGCUAUAGAUGAAGAUGAAGAACCUGAGAUUCAUUGGCCUAUUGUCAUACAUGAGCGUGAAGUGUCAGGUUUACCCAAUCCUCUUAAUGACAUGCUCCCUUAUGAUUUCUUUGCUUCUAACUUGCAUUGCAUGAUGCCAUCACUUAAGGGCAUUGACCCUAUCACUUGUAGUCGUUGUUUGUGUGAGUCCUAUUUCAGGUUUUUGCUACUGCACCGUCACUACAUGCUGACCAGGUUUGAGGUGACAUUCCUUGGGACCCCGGUGGAUUUAGAGGAUGGUGACGAGGAGAAGCAACGAGCACACAUGAGGAUGAGAGAAGCAGGAGCGUCUAAAGAAGUGAGAGGACCUUCUUGUGAAGAAAGAAGAGAAGGAGGAGGGCUAAUGUGUAAAGUUUGCAGAUCAGGGAGGGGAUCAAAAUCCCUAGAUUGCCUCCAUUCCCCAUCGGGCCUGGCCACAUCUCCAUCUCUCUCCCCCUCACCACUCCUUCUCCACCUUCGGCGGCCGCCACGGCCAGGCCGGCGUGGUGGUGUGCCUCCGCAGUUCAUCCACCCACCAGCGCCAUCCAUCACCAGCACCAACACCCAGCGCUACCAUCACCUCCUGCCGCUAGCGCCACCAUCACCUCCUGCCGCUAGCGCCACCACCACCUCGCGCGCCCUGCAAUCCAUCUCCCUGCUGCUCCUCCACCUUUCUUCUUGUCCUAACUCUACUGCUGCUCUUCUUCUUUUUCCCUAG